rnacentral:rRNA from 1 species
AUUGAACGCUGGCGGCAGGCCUAACACAUGCAAGUCGAGCGGAUGAAGGGAGCUUGCUCCUGGAUUCAGCGGCGGACGGGUGAGUAAUGCCUAGGAAUCUGCCUGGUAGUGGGGGCUAACGUCCGGAAACGGGCGCUAAUACCGCAUACGUCCUGAGGGAGAAAGUGGGGGAUCUUCGGACCUCGCGCUAUCAGAUGAGCCUAGGUCGGAUUAGCUAGUUGGUGGGGUAAAGGCCUACCAAGGCGACGAUCCGUAACUGGUCUGAGAGGAUGAUCAGUCACACUGGAACUGAGACACGGUCCAGACUCCUACGGGAGGCAGCAGUGGGGAAUAUUGGACAAUGGGCGAAAGCCUGAUCCAGCCAUGCCGCGUGUGUGAAGAAGGUCUUCGGAUUGUAAAGCACUUUAAGUUGGGAGGAAGGGCAGUAAGUUAAUACCUUGCUGUUUUGACGUUACCAACAGAAUAAGCACCGGCUAACUUCGUG